CAGUAGCCGCGGUAAUACGAAGGGUGCAAGCGUUAAUCGGAAUUACUGGCCGUAAAGCGUGCGUAGGCGGUUUGUUAAGUCUGUUGUGAAAUCCCCGGGCUCAACCUGGGAAUGGCAAUGGAUACUGGCAAGCUAGAGUGUGUCAGAGGAUGGUGGAAUUCCCGGUGUAGCGGUGAAAUGCGUAGAGAUCGGGAGGAACAUCAGUGGCGAAGGCGGCCAUCUGGGACAACACUGACGCUGAGGCACGAAAGCGUGGGGAGCAAACAGGAUUAGAUACCCGCGUAGUCCCUGUCUCUUAUAC
rnacentral:rRNA from 1 species